rnacentral:rRNA from 1 species
AUUGAGCGCUGGCGGCAUGCCUUACACAUGCAAGUCGAACGGUAACAGGUCUUCGGAUGCUGACGAGUGGCGAACGGGUGAGUAAUACAUCGGAACGUGCCUAGUAGUGGGGGAUAACUACUCGAAAGAGUGGCUAAUACCGCAUGAGAUCUACGGAUGAAAGCAGGGGAUCGCAAGACCUUGUGCUACUAGAGCGGCCGAUGGCAGAUUAGGUAGUUGGUGGGAUAAAAGCUUACCAAGCCGACGAUCUGUAGCUGGUCUGAGAGGACGAUCAGCCACACUGGGACUGAGAAACGGCCCAGACUCCUACGGGAGGCAGCAGUGGGGAAUUUUGGACAAUGGGCGCAAGCCUGAUCCAGCAAUGCCGCGUGCAGGAUGAAGGCCUUCGGGUUGUAAACUGCCUUUGUACGGAACGAAAAGCCCCGGGUUAAUACCCUGGGGUCAUGACGGUACCGUAAGAAUAAGCACCGGCUAACUACGUGCCAGCCGCCGCGGUAA